AUUAAUGAGAAAUGCACACAGUUGAAUGUGUAGUAUCUGUUUCUUAUCAGUUCAAUAUCUGAUAUGUCCUCUACCCAGGGAAUGUAUAUAAAUAGAUUUUUAGAACUGGGAGAUGGAAUAGGGGCUUGCGCCGUCCACUCCACGCAUCAAUCUGGUAUUACAGUCCAGGAACGGUGCACCCCCC